rnacentral:rRNA from 1 species
GAUCAUGGCUCAGGAUGAACGCUAGCUACAGGCUUAACACAUGCAAGUCGAGGGGCAGCAUGGUCUUAGCUUGCUAAGACCGAUGUCGACCGGCGCACGGGUGAGUAACACGUAUCCAACCUGCCGUCUACUCUUGGACAGCCUUCUGAAAGGAAGAUUAAUACAAGAUGGCAUCAUGAGUUCGCAUGUUCACAUGAUUAAAGGUAUUCCGGUAGACGAUGGGG